UACGAAGGGGGCUAGCGUUGCUCGGAAUCACUGGGCGUAAAGCGCACGUAGGCGGAUCUUUAAGUCAGGGGUGAAAUCCUGGAGCUCAACUCCAGAACUGCCUUUGAUACUGGGGAUCUCGAGUCCGGGAGAGGUGAGUGGAACUCCGAGUGUAGAGGUGAAAUUCGUAGAUAUUCGGAAGAACACCAGUGGCGAAGGCGACUGACUGGACAAGUAUUGACGCUGAGGUGCGAAAGCGUGGGGAGCAAACAGG
rnacentral:rRNA from 1 species